rnacentral:misc_RNA from 1 species
GGACUGAUUAUAAGAGUAAGCUUACAGGCGUCUGUUUCUCAAUGGCGUUUUAUUUUAUUUUAUUUUUUUCCUUCUAUAUGGGUUUCACGUUGCUUUAUAGUUGUGGAUAUGCAUUAGGUUGUUUUUGACGGGGGAAAAGUUUCGCAUUCCGUGAAUGGACUUGAUUAUAGGAUAUUGAUAUCUAAAGCUUUUGCUUUGCCUUAAUUCU